AUAAAAUAAUUAUGUUUUUGAUAAUUUAUUAUAAGUUUAUUUUACAUAUAAAUUUUAGUAUAUAAUUUUAAUUAUUUUAAUAAUAAUUAAUUAUUUUAGUAGUAAUUAAUAUUAAAAAUUUAAGAAAUUAAGAUUUAGUAAUAUAAAAAUUAAUAACUAAUUUUGUGCCAGCAGUUGCGGUUAAACAAAAAUUAAAUUAAAUUAUUUCAGUUUAUAAUUAAUAAAUAAUAAUUAAAAUAAAUAUUAAAUUAUUAGGUGAAAUUUUAAUUUAAUUAAAUUUUAUUUAAGUUUUAUGAUUUAAUAAAUUUUAAUAUAAACUAGGAUUAGAUACCCUAUUAUUAAAAAUUUAAUUUAUAAUACUAAAAUAGUAAAUAAUGAUUUAUUGAAACUUAAAUAAUAUGGCGGUAUUUUAGUUCAUUUAGAGGAAUCUGUCUAAUAAUUGAUAAUCCACGAAUAAAUUUACUUAAUUUAUAAUUUUGUAUAUCAUUGUUAAAAAAAUAUUUUUUAGUAAAAAUAAUAUUUAAAAUUUAUAAAUAUAAAUUAAUUCAGAUCAAGAUGCAGAUUAUAAUUAAGAAUAUGAUGGAUUACAAUAAAUAUAUUUAAAAUGAAUAAUUUUUUGUAAUUAAAAUUUGAAGGUGGAUUUAAAUGUAAUUUUAAUUAGUUUAUUAAAAUGAUUAUAAAUUAAAAUAUGUACAUAUUGCCCGUCACUUUCAUUUAAAAAUUGAAAUAAGUCGUAACAAAGUAGAGGUACUGGAAAGUGUUUCUAGAAAGA
rnacentral:ncRNA from 1 species